ensembl:lncRNA
GUGGGUGAAGGCAUUAAAAAAAACAAAGGCACAUCUAUGAGAAAAUAAUUUCAAAUUGUAAAAAAGUCACAUUUUUAGAGAAUGGAUAAAAGCGAUUGAAAAAAACAGAGGCACAUCUAUAAGAAACCAACUUCAAACUGUAAAAAAAAAAAAAGUCACAGAUGCCAACCAGACACUGCAACCAGAUCUGGUAUCUAAGGUCAGAUUUUCAACCACUUAGAUAAACCUGGGGACAGAAUGUAAUGUCAGUAGCUUAUGUGAACUGAAACGUGAAAUCCAAUUUUGAGACAGACUUCCCUUUUAAAUUAGUCACAGCAAUUUACCAGGUGAGCCUUAAGGAAAAUUCCAACUUCACACACAACAAACACCUGCCAAACGCAGCAGCAGCACGCCCCCCACCCCACACACAUACACACAUAACCCUUUUUCCUACCUCCUUCCUUAGCAACAAGAUGCAGACACACAAAGUGAACUUCAGCCUGGGAGCUGGCCGCAAGCCCAGGGUUAAACGAGUUCUCUUAAGUACCACCCCGUGGCAGCCAGAAGAUGCCACCCAAAUAGAGGAAAGGGAGACCUUGGGCUCCCCGUGACUUCGGGCGAUUCAUUCAACCCUUCGGGCUCCGUUGGCUCAAAUCAAGAUUAAGGGUUUGGUUUGGGGAUGCUGUUUGGGGUUCCCAAAGCUCUAUGAGUAAAAGGUUGGGGUGCCCCGUAUGACCCAGCUUGGCACGGGGUGCGAUGAGCAAGGAGGAAGAGGACGAGGAGUUGAAGGUGGGAGAAGGGGGAUGCUCUCCUCGGCCCAACAGCCGAGCUGCCCCCGCCCCGCCCGGGACUCUCCGAGGGAGGAGGGCGGGGAUGCCGCGCCCCCGGGGGCGCCCCUCCCUUCGCCCCCUGGACACCUGCGUUUACGCGCGCGCGUCCGGGGAAGCGACCGUCCGAGUCUAGCGCUCGUCUCCCCGCCGAGCCAACGGUCCUUACCGGCGCCCACUGCCUCGUACGCCUGCCCGCCUGCCCGCCUGCCCGCCCGAGGCUGCGGUUCGCGUCCAGUCCUUGCCCGAGGCCGCCGGGAGUCACACACCUCGACCUCGACCUCCUCCUCCUUCUCCCCAGACAGGUGGAGCACUUUCCAGACAUUCUGGUUCAACAGUCAGAAGUGAGAACAUCUAUUUAUCUCUGAAGCAGUCAUAUGGGGAGUAUUUCCUUUCAAGACCUAAGACCAUAGUGGCUUGUGGAAGCCAGGAGACAAAUCAGAACUUUUCAGAAAUUGAGGGUUGAGAGCAUGGUGUUAGUCCAGAGAUCAGUUCGGUGAUGGAGAAGUAAGAAGAACCUGUGAUCAAAGCAGAGAUGGAGAGGGAACAAGAUAAGCAGUCUGGAAUUGGAGCACAUGCAGAUAACGCAGGUUACAGCAAGAUAGUAAAUUGAAACCCCUCAUUCUCUCUCACCCCCUCUACUAAGUUAGUUGCCCAGUGCUGCUGAUUCUAUCUUUUUAAUUUAUUAUUAUUAUUAUUAUUAUUAUUAUUAUUAUUAUUAUUAUUAUUAUUAUUAUUUUGCUUAGGCA